rnacentral:rRNA from 12 species
UUUUACGGCCAUACUACUCUGAAUAUGCUCGAUCUCCUGUGGUCUCAGAAGCUAAACAGAGUCGGGUCUUGUUAGUUCUUGGAUGGGAGACCGCCUGGGGAUACCAGCUACUGUAAACC